AUUGAAACAUUGGUUCCCAUAUGAUCAGUAAAGUUAAGCAAUGUCAAGCCUGAUCAGUACCUAGAAGGGUGAUUGUUUGGGAAUACCUGGUGCUGUAAG